rnacentral:misc_RNA from 1 species
GAUGAAGACGUAGCAAAAUGCGAUACUUGGUGUGAAUUGCAGAAUCCCGUGAACCAUCGAGUUUUUGAACGCAAGUUGCGCCCGAAGCCUUUUGGCCGAGGGCACGUCUGCCUGGGCGUCACGCAUCGCGUCGCCCCCCACAAUUCUCCGUAAAGGGAACAUGUGUUUUGGGGGCGGAUAUUGGUCUCCCGUGCUCAUGGCGUGGUUGGCCGAAAUAGGGGUCCUUUCGAUGGACGCACGAACUAGUGGUGGUCGUAAAAACCCUCGUCUUUUGUUUCGUGCUGUUGCUCGCAAGGUAAACUCUUUAAAAACCACAAUGUGUCGUCUCUUGACGACGCUUCGACCGCGACCCCAGGUCAGGCGGGACUACCCGCUGAGUUUAAGCAUAUCAAUAAGCGGAGGA